rnacentral:rRNA from 1 species
GACGAACGUUGGCGGCGUGCUUAAUACAUGCAAGUCAACUGAAGCAGUGGUAGCAAUAUCGCUGUGGAGGUGGCGCACGGGUGAGUAACACGUAGGUAAUCUGCCUUCAGGUCUGGCAUAACUCCGGGAAACCGGGGCUAAUAGCAGAUGAUGCAGCGGCUCGACAUCGAGACAGUUGUUAAAGCUAUGGCGCCUGAAGAUGAGCCCGCGUCUGAUUAGCUAGUUGGCGGGGUAACGGCCCACCAAGGCAACGAUCAGUAGCUGGUCUGAGAGGAUGAUCAGCCACACUGGAACUGAGACACGGUCCAGACUCCUACGGGAGGCAGCAGUAAGGAAUAUUGCUCAAUGGGAGAAAUCCUGAAGCAGCAACGCCGCGUGAGGGACGAAGGGCUUUUGCUUGUAAACCUCUGUAGUGAGAGAAAAAAAUCCCAAUCUUUGGGACAUGAUGGUAUCUCAAAAGUAAGCCCCGGCUAACUACGUG